rnacentral:lncRNA from 1 species
AGCGAUUCUCCUGCCUCCGCCUCCCAAGUAGCUGGAAUUACAGGUGUUUGACCUCUAGAACUCAGAAAAUCUUCAACUUCUUUACUAUUGCCCAAAGUCCAAAAUGAGAUUUAGAAGACUACUGCUGUGCGAAGAAGCCAAGUUAUCACUAAAAUAGAUGGAGCAAAAGAAUUUAACAAUGCUUUCACAGCUGAGUAUUUAAUCCUGUAGAAAGAUGAUGGCUCUGAUUAUAAAGAGAUAAUGAUGCAGAAUGUACGAGAAGGGAAUUUGAAUUUCUAAGAAAAAAUGUUUGAGAAGGAGAAAACUGCAAAUUCUGUGAGAAACAAUGUUUUAAGUGCCUUCUAAUAAGGUGUUUCUUAAGAUGAGAUGGAAAGGACAUACUUCCUCCUUAUCUAGGUACAGAUGUUACUCACUUGUGUAAGACUGAGAUAUUAAUUAAAUUUGAGCAUGCUAGGUAGAGCAAAGGCCAAGAAGAUACCUCACAGAUAGCCAUAAAUUACCCCUAGAAUCUGAGCUAGAAUCUGAGGUUAGAAAUUUUGUCUGUUUUGUUCUCUGAUAUAUCCCACGCACUUAAAACAGUAUGAUACCUACACCAGGCACUCAAUGAAUUUUUAUUGACUAAGUGGUCAGUUUAACAAAGUCUAAAGUCUUAACUUUAUCAGCACAUCUAAAGUUUAUCCACGUCUUAGGGGUUCACUUCAGCAAUUCAAGAGAGAGUGGUAUCAAAGAAGAAUGAUCAUUUAUUAAUUUUGAAGAGAAAAAUCAUCGUAGGAAUAAUCAAAUGUGCAACAUUAACAUAAAUAACUUUGUGGUCUAGCUAAGUACAAAGCUAAGUCAUACCCAGCA